UUCAACUAGAGCAAUCUACUAAACUACCUUUUGGAGGAACCAUUUGUUACCUCCUUGCUGCAGUAAAAUUUCAUGCAGUAUCCAGAAAUUGAAAUUCUGUAUCUGUCUGCACUCCCUGUGACCAGACAUGAACUGAUACAAAAAUAGUAAUAAUCAAUAGCGAUGACAAGCUUUGAAUUCACUGCGCUCAGGUCGUAGGGCAGGCUGCCCAGCCUCUCUUCAUAUGAUAGCUCCCAGUCUUGGAAAAGAUCGAGGCUAAAUAGGUCACUGCCUUGCCCGAAGGCUCACAAAAUGCCAUUUGUCUUCAGCUAUAAAAAUCAUAAAUAGAAAAUGUAGAGACUCAAGGUCUUCAUCUGGUCUCCUCCAAACAAUCCAUCAAUCCAUCCCUUCUCUCAGAGCUUCAGUUGCACUUACACUCUGUGUCACUCACUCUCACAGUAAACCCUACAGUCUUUGCUUUCUCUGUGUGUCUGUCUUCCUGCCCCAGUCUCCUGUGUUAUUGGUAGCAGCAGGGACCAUCGACUACUCUCUCUUUGCUUUCCAUUUCGGCUCUUGGUGUGAUGUGAACGGGAGGAACAUGAAUUCAUUCAACAAACAUCCGCUGCCGAUUCUACUGUGUUCCAGCCACUGUCACCAGAGAUACAACGGUAAACAGGACAAGGUCCUGCCCCCAGAGAACUGAAAUCGAGAGGGAGAGAGAGAGGCAGGCAAACAGGCAAGUACCGUCAAAUGUGGUGUGUGAUCCUUGAAGCCAGCAGCGGGGUCACGAGAGCACAUUUGGCGGGAUUCGAGCUGGUUGUAAGGAGUCCGGGAAGAGCUCUGGGCGAAGCUACUUCUGACAAGAAAUCCGGAGCUCACCUGUUGUUAGAAAGAAGUACUCUAGUGUUUGGAGGCUGGGACGUCAGUUCAUAACGUGUAUAUCAGCCAGCCUGUCGCUGUCAAUAAUGUGACAAACCCAGCCAGAGUCUGCCCCUUGCUUGGCCUGUCAAAUGAGACGUCACCUCCUGCAGCUGCCUGGCGUUCAGGACUUCAGAACAUUCAUGUCUGGAACCCACUGUGAGGUUCCUUUUGGACCUGAGAGUCUAGUGUUUCUGUUGGGGCGACCCUUUCUCCUGUGCUGGUCGUGCCCGGACGCAGACGUCCUGGAGGAGCAACAUCCUUGUCUGGUUCUCGCGUGAGGCUGCCCGGCUUCACCAUGGCCUUAACCGUGAACCUGCUGGUCGGACACACCAUGUUCCUCCUCCGUCUCCUAGGAGCUCCACCCACUGCCCUCGCUGACAUCUGAGUGUGCAGAGUGGCCGUGUUUAUCCAGUUUGGCAAGUUGUGGAGUUGAGGUGAAAGUCUGGAAAGUCCAGUCCCCUGGACACCGAGGUCCAGCUGAUGUUCCAGAGUCCAAGUUCUGCCGGGGGUGGUGAUGGGGUCAUGGGCAGGGACAUGUUGGCCAGUGGUCAGGACCCCGCUCUCCAGGGAAAGAACCAGCACGCGCGCACAGUUUAUGAUACAAGCUGAUGUGAAGGACGGUGGUACACAGACGACAAAGAUGAUAAUAUGCUGAGAUCAUGUGAUAACAGAAGGAAUGCUUGUGCCCCGUUCUUUGAGCGUUUCCUGAAUCUGCCGGUUUUCAGUGGCCUUCCGCUCAGAAUAAUACUACACCAGAGGGGCACAUUUUGGAUUGAUGCGGUACCAGGGCUCUGCAAAUUAAAUUGACGGACAACAGAUUAACAGGAGCAAAAGUUUUAUCAUGUCUGUGUACAGAGCCCUUCACAGAAAAGAAGUGGAGAUGCAAAGAGACACUUAGACUUAAGGACUUGUGUGCUGUUAAUAAAGGGUGAUCAGUUUCCGGAGAAGUCACAAGACAAAGGAAAACAAGUUUCAGUUUCCAACGACCGGAAGUUGUGGGAAGCGAUGGUGCCGGCCGAGCUGUGCCAGAGCAACCAAGGCAAAAGCGUCGUGCACAGAAUGACCGAGAACUUUGACCAGGUGCCGUGGACUCCUCAGAGGCAGUGACCCAGGACUGAGGCCCCCGAGCAUCCUUCUGAGUGUCGCCGCCCCGGUGCCCCUCUCACGGGAGUUGCUGUCAGGCUUGAUGGUUGAAGCAGCCAUGGUAUCGAGAUUUCACUGGUAGAAACUAUUCCUUUUCUUCCCUGGGAGAAGCAGGCCUCCUACUUUGUUGGGGAGAUCCCCCUUUUAAUAAACAAAAAUGAUAAGCUUAAAUUAUAUAUUAAGAAUUACUUUAGGGUCUUCCGUGGUGGCGCAGUGGUUUAGAAUCCACCUGCCAAUGCAGGGGACACAGGUUCGAGCCCUGGUCCGGGAAGAUCCCACAUGCUGCGGAGCAACUAAGCCCGUGCGCCACAGCUACUGAGCCUGUGUUCUAGAGCCCGCAUGCCACAACUACUGAGCCCAAGUGCCACAACUACUGAAACCCACAUGCCGCAAUUACUGAGCCGCGCGCCUAGAGCCCGUGCUCCACAACAAGAGAAGCCACCACAAUGAGAAGCCUGCUCACUGCAAUGAAGAGUAGCCCCCGCUCGCCGCAACUAAAGAAAGCCCGCGCCCAGCAACAAAAGACCCAACGCAGCCAAAAAUAAAUAAAAUAAAAUAAAUUAAUUUAAAAAAAGAAUUACUUUAUAUACACAUAAAGAAUAAUCAUAAAGAUCAGGAAACAGAACGUGACGAGUGGACACUCAGGAGCGCCCUUCCCUCCUCACAGCAUCCUCCCCUCCGUGAGGUAGCUGUUCUCCCGAUGAUUUUGUGUCAGUGACUUGUCCUCAGAGUUUUCGCCCAGGGACACAUCCCUAGAUAACGCAGCCCAGC